UUCAGAGCUUCCAAUGCCUUGGUCAUGCAACUCAGAAUUUGGAUGCCUGCAGAUAUAAUGAUACUGCAAAACAAUCAUCUUCAAAUUUUAAUUAUGUAAAGGAGCCAAAUAGAAAUUUAGUGGCAAGAGCAGGAUUACUUGGCUUUUCAGGCGUAGGGCAGUUUAGGCAUAGAUUUUACAGUACUGCAAUUUUGGGAUGGCCGUGUGCAAACAGAGUUUCUUUAUCCAAUGAGGUUGAUGUCACUUUCUGUUCGUGAUGCAUCAACUGCUACGGCUAAGCAACCUGACUUGGGGAGUGAUGAAGAAAAUGAAGAAAUAGUUGCUAGAAAGAGAAAGGAAGCAUCUCCUGAAGAAUGUGAUCAAGCUGUUGAAGGUUUGAGUUCAGCAAAAGCCAAAGUGAAAGCCAUACGUUUGCAUGAAUCUCAAAAGG
rnacentral:misc_RNA from 1 species